UGCUUCAAAUUGAAUCCUCCAAAUAUCAUUACAAGAAAUGGGUUUACAAUUCAUUGAUUUAAAAGUUCAUAGUUUGGGGAAGGUUUAUAGUUUAAUUUAGAUGGAGUAGUUUAAUUCACAAUUAACAAAUUCUUGGAAUGGAAGUGUUUGGACUGAUCAAAGUAAUUUUGGCUGAUAACAUCAUCGUUCUUCAUCUUACAUCUCUACAUGUAAAGGCAUUGCAUUUUGUUUUUCUCUUUUCUUUUUCUUUAUUUUGUUUUUUUUAAAGGUUCCUACGAUUAGAAUUGUUUGUCAUUUUGUGAUUUUUGAUUUACAGGUGUGGUGUAAGCACUUUGAGGCAGCAAGAAAAGGUGAUUCCCGAGUGAUCACAGCAAUGGACACAGUUCACACCGCUAGCAAACGAAGAAAAUAGAAAGGUCCAGAAGAAAUGAAACAAAAAAGAAGGUUAAACUUGAAAGAGAGAUGAAGGAAGGCCGCUACUCAUUUAUCUCACGGUCCUGGAAACAUCAAUGGGAUGUAUACUAGGGCGGCACGAUGAGAAAGGAAAGAAGGAGCAUGCCAUCUAUUUGAUGAAUGAGUUAUAGCUAUAAAAGCCAUUUUCUUCAUCCCGUUCCACCUACAAUUGGAAGUUGCCACCACCAUUCGAUCAACAACGACCACUUCGCCACCGCCAACCCCAACCCCUGUUACAACCUCUACCCGGCAGCACCAGUAGCUACCAUCUCUAGUUGAUGGAUAAAUGUGGGUAGGUAGAUCAUACCCCGCUUACCGUUUUCCUAAGGUACAAUUGUUUAGCUUUUGGAAAACUUGGUAUGCUAUUAUCUAUUGUUCGAUUUGGAUUUGUGGCAAGUUUACGGCAAGAAAAGCCUGCAGAUUAAGGUUCUAGAAGAAGGUAUAAGAAAGGUUGUAGGUGUGUGGGGAUUGAAUAGGACAGCAUAUUGUUUGG